rfam:Triticum aestivum genome assembly, contig: Triticum_aestivum_CS42_TGACv1_scaffold_291270_4AL
AAAAUACUCCCUCCGUCUGAAAAUACUUGUUAUCAAAAUGAAUAAAAAGAGAUGUAUUUAGAACUAAAAUAUAUCUAGAUACAUCCCUUUUAUCCAUUUUAAGGAUAAGUAUUUCCGAACGGAGGAAGUACUCA